AACUAAUAUUAACUCCUAGCCUCUGUGUCUAAGUCACUGUAUCACAUUGAUAUGAUGCUCUGGCCGUGGCUCCUGAGUCACCAGGAUGCAAGGUAGAAAUGCCAGCAUCUCCCGUACUUGGAAGGUGUUAUUGUGGAACAACU
rnacentral:ncRNA from 1 species